rnacentral:rRNA from 1 species
UACGGAGGGAGCUAGCGUUGUUCGGAAAUACUGGGCGUAAAGCGCACGUAGGCGGCGCAGCAAGUCAGGGGUGAAAUCCCGGGGCUCAACCCCGGAACUGCCCUUGAAACUGCAGUGCUAGAAUUCUGGAGAGGCGAGUGGAAUUCCGAGUGUAGAGGUGAAAUUCGUAGAUAUUCGGAAGACCACCAGUGGCGAAGGCGGCUUGCCAGAACGCGCUCGACGGUGAGGGAUGAAAGCUGGGGAGCAACCGG